GGAGGGUGCAAGCGUUAAUCGGAAUUACUGGGCGUAAAGAGUACGUAGGUGGUUCGUUAAGUCAGAUGUGAAAGCCCCGGGCUCAACCUGGGAACUGCAUUUGAAACUGGCAAACUAGAGUAUGGUAGAGGGGGGUAGAAUUCCUAGUGUAGCGGUGAAAUGCGUAGAUAUUAGGAGGAAUACCAGUGGCGAAGGCGGCCCCCUGGACCAAUACUGACACUGAGGUACGAAAGCGUGGGGAGCAAACAGGAUUAGAUACCCUGGUAGUCCACGCCGUAAACGAUGUCAACUAGCCGUUGGGAGCUUGAGCUUUCAGUGGUGCAGCUAACGCGUGAAGUUGACCGCCUGGGGAGUACGGCCGCAAGGCUAAAACUCAAAUGAAUUGACGGGGGCCCGCACAGGCGGUGGAGCAUGUGGUUUAAUUCGAUGCAACGCGAAGAACCUUACCAUCCCUUGACAUCAUCUGAACUUGUUAGAGAUAACUCGGUGCCUUCGGGAACUGAAUGACAGGUGCUGCAUGGCUGUCGUCAGCUCGUGUCGUGAGAUGUUGGGUUAAGUCCCGCAACGAGCGCAACCCUUAUCCUUAUUUGCCAGCACGUUAUGGUGGGAACUCUAAGGAGACUGCCGGUGAUAAACCGGAGGAAGGUGGGGGAUGACGUCAAGUCAUCAUGGCCCUUAUGGGAUGGGCUACACACGUGCUACAAUGGCCAGUACAGAGGGCAGCCAACUCGCGAGAGUGAGCAAAUCCCAGAAAGCUGGUCGUAGUCCGGAUUGGAGUCUGCAACUCGACUCCAUGAAGUUGGAAUCGCUAGUAAUCGCGAAUCAGAAUGUCGCGGUGAAUACGUUCCCGGGCCUU
rnacentral:rRNA from 1 species